AAAUACAUUUACAUUAAGGAGAAUCAACAAAGGUGAACUUUUCAUUACUGGAGAACGCUAACUUACUUAUAAAUAGGUGUGUCUCAGCAGCAGAUCUUCAAACGACACAUCAUACAGUAUCUGAGAGCUUGUGAUUCAUUGUGCUUGGUUUCAGAAUGCAGGGCCAGCCUCGCUUUCCAACUUCAGUCUCUGUUAACUCAGCGAAGCAGAA